GAUGAAGAACGCAGCGAAAUGCGAUAAGUAAUGUGAAUUGCAGAAUUCAGUGAAUCAUCGAAUCUUUGAACGCACCUUGCGCCCUUUGGCUAUUCUGAAGGGCAUGCCUGUUUGAGUAUCAUGAACACCUCAACUCUCAUGGUUUGCCAUGAUGAGCUUGGACUUUGGGGGUCUUGCUGGCCUUCGGUCGGCUCCUCUCAAAUGAAUCAGCUUGCCAGUGUUUGGUGGCAUCACGGGUGUGAUAACUAUCUACGCUUGUGGUUUCCCACCAGGUAACCUUCAGUGAUGGAGGUUCGCUGGGGCUCAUAAAUGUCCCUCCACAGUGAGGACAGCUUUUGAACGUUUGAUCUCAAAUCAGGUAGGACUACCCGCUGAACUUAAGCAUAUCAAUAAGCGGAGGA
rnacentral:misc_RNA from 1 species